AUGAACGCUAGCUACAGGCUUAACACAUGCAAGUCGAGGGGCAGCAUGAACUUAGCUUGCUAAGUUUGAUGGCGACCGGCGCACGGGUGAGUAACACGUAUCCAACCUGCCGAUGACUCGGGGAUAGCCUUUCGAAAGAAAGAUUAAUACCCGAUGGCAUAGUUCUUCCGCAUGGUAGAACUAUUAAAGAAUUUCGGUCAUCGAUGGGGAUGCGUUCCAUUAGGUUGUUGGCGGGGUAACGGCCCACCAAGCCUUCGAUGGAUAGGGGUUCUGAGAGGAAGGUCCCCCACAUUGGAACUGAGACACGGUCCAAACUCCUACGGGAGGCAGCAGUGAGGAAUAUUGGUCAAUGGACGAGAGUCUGAACCAGCCAAGUAGCGUGAAGGAUGACUGCCCUAUGGGUUGUAAACUUCUUUUAUACGGGAAUAAAGUGAGGCACGUGUGCCUUUUUGUAUGUACCGUAUGAAUAAGGAUCGGCUAACUCCGUGCCAGCAGCCGCGGUAAUACGGAGGAUCCGAGCGUUAUCCGGAUUUAUUGGGUUUAAAGGGAGCGUAGGCGGACGCUUAAGUCAGUUGUGAAAGUUUGCGGCUCAACCGUAAAAUUGCAGUUGAUACUGGGUGUCUUGAGUACAGUAGAGGCAGGCGGAAUUCGUGGUGUAGCGGUGAAAUGCUUAGAUAUCACGAAGAACUCCGAUUGCGAAGGCAGCUUGCUGGACUGUAACUGACGCUGAUGCUCGAAAGUGUGGGUAUCAAACAGGAUUAGAUACCCUGGUAGUCCACACAGUAAACGAUGAAUACUCGCUGUUUGCGAUAUACAGUAAGCGGCCAAGCGAAAGCGUUAAGUAUUCCACCUGGGGAGUACGCCGGCAACGGUGAAACUCAAAGGAAUUGACGGGGGCCCGCACAAGCGGUGGAGUAUGUGGUUUAAUUCGACGCAACGCGAAGAACCUUACCAGGGCUUGACAUCCUGCUAACGAAGUAGAGAUACAUUAGGUGCCCUUCGGGGAAAGCAGAGACAGGUGGUGCAUGGUUGUCGUCAGCUCGUGUCGUGAGAUGUUGGGUUAAGUCCCGCAACGAGCGCAACCCCUGUGAUUAGUUGCCAGCGAGUAAUGUCGGGAACUCUAAUCAAACUGCCGGUGAUAAAUCGGAGGAAGGUGGGGACGACGUCAAAUCAUCAUGCCCUUUAUGUCUUGGGCUACACACGUACUACAAUGGCUAUAACAAAGAGAAGCGAGACAGUGAUGUGGAGCAAAACUCAAAAAAAUAGUCUCAGUUCGGAUUGAAGGCUGAAACUCGCCUUCAUGAAGCCGGAAUUGCUAGUAAUGGCAGGUCAGCAUACUGCCGUGAAUACGUUCCCGGGCCUUGUACACACCGCCCGUCACACCAUGAGAGUUGGGAAUACCCGAAGCCUGUGAGCCAACAGUUAAAUGGGGCAGCAGUCGAAGGUAGAAUCAAUGAUUGGGGUG
rnacentral:rRNA from 1 species